GUUACCUAAAGAGAAUGGCAUAGUUUCAUGAUGGAAUUCUCCUUGUACAUCUCAGCUCAAUAAAGUAUCUGUGAGAAGCAAUGGCACUGUAUGAGAUAUGGUCUAGUCCAUCAUGAAUAUCAUUAAUUUAACUAUUAUUUCUUUAGAAAUAAGAUUUAAAUUUUAAAAUUUAAAUUAGGUUCCAUCUAAAGUUGGUUUCACCACACCAUAUGAGAUAUGAUAUGGCAGAC
rnacentral:lncRNA from 1 species